rnacentral:rRNA from 1 species
UACGUAGGGUGCAAGCGUUGUCCGGAAUUAUUGGGCGUAAAGAGCUCGUAGGCGGUUUGUCGCGUCUGCUGUGAAAACCCGAGGCUCAACCUCGGGCCUGCAGUGGGUACGGGCAGACUAGAGUGCGGUAGGGGUGACUGGAAUUCCUGGUGUAGCGGUGAAAUGCGCAGAUAUCAGGAGGAACACCGGUGGGCGAAAGGCG